rnacentral:lncRNA from 1 species
AUGUCCUUUCUUUUGAUGACAGGACUUCAACUUUGUGAGAACUCCAGCUGUCAAACUGUUGGGUUACCUGGAGUCUUAAUUCAUGUGAAUGAUGAGAUAGUCAUUGGCUUGGAACUUGCACCAGCAAGUGUGUGUGUCUUCAGCAACUGUUUCCUUCUGUGGCAUGUUCAAACAAGCAAAGUGAUCAUUCUGUGCAUAGCUAAUUAAAAUUCAUGGCUCGCAAGGAACAGAUUGCCAUAGGAAAACCCUCAGCCUGUCCAUCCACUGGUACCAUACCACCAGCAGAGCUCCUUUUAUUCAAGAUUCUCCCUGUAGUUGCCUCUAAUUCUUUUGCAAAUCUUCCUUUCCCGUCACAAAUUUAUAGCCCAUUGACUACUUUCUGUGGGUGGCUGGAAACAUCUGGGUAGCAAUCCUUCAGUGUAUGUCCUGCACCCUGCUUGGAAACAAUGGCAACAAAGGCCAAGAAGAGCUCAGCAGUACCCAAAUGCAAAACUAGGAAAGAAGAAUGGAGCUGUUUAACAUGUAUAUUCAUUACUCACACUCAAUUAAGGGUGAGUGAAGGUGGAGGAGCUCAAGGCCCUACUUUGUCAGUCUUGGAAAAAAAAUUCUUGUGAUUGUUACAUCAUGUUUCAUUAGACUAAUUCAGUUUAGGCAAUGCCAGUUUUGUCCUUGAUGUCAGCCCUAUCACUAUCAGCUGCCACUUUUACAGGAAGUUUUGCAGUAGACUUGUCUAAACUAAAGCCGAGCUAGUUGAGCUCACAUAUCCCAGGGCCUUCACAAUGACAGAGGAAAUGUCUUGAAAGAGUACAUAGAAUUCAUUUACAGGAAUCUUAAAUUUAAAUUAGAGUAAUGGAUUUUAAUAGCAGAUGACAACUUUCCCCCAGAGCUUUAAAACCAUUAGAUAGGUGAGAUAAAAUUCUAUAAUGAACUCUAAACUUAAAUAUUUUGAACUAAAUGUCUAUGCAUUUAGAGAUCUAUCUGAAAAUCUAUUUCUUUUAACAGAGACUAUUUUUAGGAUAACCAGGCAACAUGAAAGAAGAAAGGGUGGAAGAAACCUUUUCCUGAUUUUUCUGCGUGGCAUACAUAUAAUUAUACUAGGAGAUUAAAUUAGGAGGUUUACACAUGUGAUAAAUAGUCUCCUCCCUCCCUUUCCCUUUCCUCCUUACUGAUAUAUGCACAUCUGAGAGUGUUUAGUGAAAGGCGGGGG